ACUGCCGGCGUAAUGAAACUAAAAAUAAAGUGCACCACGAAUCACGACAUACCAUUGGCGUAAACUGGUCUGACGUCAACGGUGUCCCUGGUACCAUGAGUAUCCAUUAACAGACUAUCAAAAAAAUAUAAAAGGAAAUUUCACAAGCAAAACUGCACUUACUGCAUCUAAUCAAACACAGCUACUAAGGGUUCGUGCAAUUCCAUUGCUUCCUUCGUUAAAUCAUAAUGCAUCACGUGACAAAUGUAUUCGGUGUAACGUUGUAUCUAAUACUUUUCUCAAAUUAAUCCACAACUUUGAUCUCACAACUCCGCGACACAAUAUCGAAAUCGAUGUCCAAUCGUCCGAGUGUAUUUAGAGAUAUUUCUCGUCACGUGUAAUUAGUAAUUUGAAUUUUUAUUCGCGCAGCUAGGCGCUUUGCUAUACUGAACUCUAGGUAAAACAAGCGAUAAAGCUGUCGCGGGUGACGAAGCACAAACAAAUCGGAGCACGGACGAAUCGUUUCACCAGACCCAAAGUACGGUCUCGCGGUUAGCACCGUUUUCGCUGAGACUGAGACAACGUUCUCGCCAUGCCAGUUGCAUACAGUGGAGUCGACCACGUGCGACGGGGAAUUACCGUUUCAUUAUACUGGCUGCAAAGAAAAGGAGAGGAACAGAGGCGGUGUUGAGGCAGGCCCGGGCAUGGGAGCUAUUUGUGAAAAUUAAUGAAGUCCGUGUCGACAAGGGGCUGAAGGAAGAUGGCAUUUCUCUAAGAUUUUUCAAGAACCGGGGAAAGAAAAUUGUAGGAAGCGGUAGAAAAAUAAAAAAGAGUGAAGAAAAUUGAAAGGAACCGAAGAAAAUCCAAGGAAAAGGGAAGAAAAUUUAUAAAAAAAAUUGAAGAAAAUCCAAGGCGAAAGGGAAGAAAAUUGAAAGGAACUGAAGAAGAUCCAAGAAAACUGAA